UGGGGAAUAUUGGACAAUGGGCGAAAGCCUGAUCCAGCAACGCCGCGUGAGGGAUGACGGCCUUCGGGUUGUAAACCUCUUUCAGCAGGGACGAAGCGAAAGUGACGGUACCUGCAGAAGAAGGACCGGCCAACUACGUGCCAGCAGCCGCGGUAAUACGUAGGGUCCGAGCGUUGUCCGGAAUUAUUGGGCGUAAAGGGCUCGUAGGCGGUUUGUCGCGUCGGGAGUGAAAACUCAGGGCUCAACCCUGAGCGUGCUUCCGAUACGGGCAGACUAGAGGUAUGCAGGGGAGAACGGAAUUCCUGGUGUAGCGGUGGAAUGCGCAGAUAUCAGGAGGAACACCGGUGGCGAAGGCGGUUCUCUGGGCAUGACCUGACGCUGAGGAGCGAAAGCAUGGGGAGCGAACAGG
rnacentral:rRNA from 1 species